rnacentral:rRNA from 1 species
UGCCAGCCGCCGCGGUAACACGGGGGGCGCAAGCGUUAUUCGGAAUUAUUGGGCGUAAAGGGCGCGCAGGCGGUCUUGUCCGUCAGGUGUGAAAGCUCGGGGCUCAACCCCGGAAGUGCACUUGAAACAGCAAGACUUGAAUACGGAAGGGAGAGGCGGAAUUCCAGGUGUAGUGGUGAAAUACGUAGAUAUCUGGAAGAACACCAGAGGCGAAGGCGGUCUCUUGGUCCGAAACUGACGCUGAGGCGCGAAAGCGUGGGGAGCAAACAGGAUUAGAUA